AUUGAACGCUGGCGGCAGGCUUAACACAUGCAAGUCGAGCGAGCGGCGGACGGGUGAGUAAUGUCUGGGAAACUGCCUGAUGGAGGGGGAUAACUACUGGAAACGGUAGCUAAUACCGCAUACCAUCGGAUGUGCCCAGAUGGGAUUAGCUAGUAGGUGGGGUAAGGGCUCACCUAGGCGACGAUCCCUAGCUGGUCUGAGAGGAUGACCAGCCACACUUGAACUGAGCCACGGUCCAGACUCCUCCGGGAGGCAUCAGUGUGGAAUAUUGCACAAUUGGCGCAAGCCUGAUGCAGCCAUGCCGCGUGUAUGAUGAAGGCCUUCGGGUUGUAAAGCACUUUCAGCGAGGAGGCGUUACCCGCAGAAGAAGCACCGGCUAACUCCGUGCCAGCAGCCGCGGUAAUUC
rnacentral:rRNA from 1 species